rnacentral:antisense_RNA from 1 species
AAUAGUCACCGGGGAUGCAAGCAUCAGGGAAGAAUACCUCAGAGCACGGGCCAAGCUGUCUGCAACUCAGUGGGAAGUUGAACAAACCAAACUUUACAAAGGGAGGAAGAACGAGGUGCCCCAAAUUAUGGAGACACAGGGACUGGUUACCAAGACCAUGGACCGGAACAAGAACCUUGCUCCCCCAUUAACCAACCGCACGGCCUUGGUGUGCCUAGAUUUCCUCUUUUGUAAAGUGAGGCAUGAAGUGUCUCCCUUUGGAUGGUAGGCGAGGACCAAGAGGCCCAGCGCCUGGCGGUGAUAUGAUGCAGCUUCUGAUAGAGAAGGACAGGUCCUGGUCCUCCUGUCCUCUGGCCUGAGGGGCUGAAGGUGACUUGAGGUCCCAAGACCGUGGAGCUGGGACAUAGGUUGGCACCCCUGCACUGUUGAGAGUACAAGAACCCCAUGAGAGCCGCUCUCAGCCACAGACUCAUCCCUGUACCUUCCACGGGGUGUACGCC